rnacentral:rRNA from 1 species
AACAGUCACACAUUAGAUACCCCGGUAGUCCUAGCCGUAAACGAUACUCGCUAGGUGUCGGCCACGGUGCGACCGUUGUCGGUGCCGUAGGGAAGCCGUGAAGCGAGCCACCUGGGAAGUACGGCCGCAAGGCUGAAACUUAAAGGAAUUGGCGGGGGAGCACCACAACGGGUGGAGCUUGCGGUUUAAUUGGAUUCAACGCCGGAAAUCUUACCGGGACCGACAGCAAUAUGAAGGCCAGGCUGAAGACUUUGCCGGAUUAGCUG